ensembl:snRNA U6 U6 spliceosomal RNA
GUGCUCACUUAGUAUAUAUAGGCAGCACGUAUACUAAAAUUGGAAUGAUACAGAGAACAUUAGCAUGGCCCCUGGGCAAGGAGAGUGAAUGUGAAUUCAUAUUU